CCCGCUCAGACACUCAAAGGAAUUGACGGGGCCCGCACAAGCGGCGGAGCAUGUGGUUUAAUUCGAUGAUACGCGAGGAACCUUACCUGGGCUCAAAUGUAUGUUGACGUAUUCUGAAAGGGAUACUUCUUCGGACAAUAUACAAGGUGCUGCAUGGUUGUCGUCAGCUCGUGCCGUGAGGUGUCGGGUUAAGUCCCAUAACGAGCGCAACCCCUAUCAUUAGUUGCCAUCAGGUCAAGCUGGGGACUCUAAUGAAACUGCCUACGCAAGUAGUGAGGAAGGUGGGGAUGACGUCAAGUCAUCAUGGCCCUUACGGCCUGGGCUACACACGUGCUACAAUGGUCGGUACAAAGGGUUGCCAAGCCGCGAGGUGGAGCUAAUCCCAUAAAACCGAUCGUAGUCCGGAUCGCAGUCUGCAACUCGACUGCGUGAAGUCGGAAUCGCUAGUAAUCGUGAAUCAGAAUGUCACGGUGAAUACGUUCCCGGGCCUU
rnacentral:rRNA from 1 species